rnacentral:rRNA from 1 species
CCCCUGUGAAUUAUACCUUUAAUUGUUGCUUCGGCGGGACUUCGCGCCCGCCGGGGACCCAAACCUUCUGAAUUUUUUAAUAAGUAUCUUCUGAGUGGUUAAAAAAAAUGAAUCAAAACUUUCAACAACGGAUCUCUUGGUUCUGGCAUCGAUGAAGAACGCAGCGAAAUGCGAUAAGUAAUGUGAAUUGCAGAAUUCAGUGAAUCAUCGAAUCUUUGAACGCACAUUGCGCCCGUCAGUAUUCUGGCGGGCAUGCCUGUUCGAGCGUCAUUACGCCCCUCAAGUCCCCUGUGGACUUGGUGUUGGGGAUCGGCGAGGCUGGUUUUCCAGCACAGCCGUCCCUCAAAUCAAUUGGCGGUCUCGCCGUGGCCCUCCUCUGCGCAGUAGUAAAACACUCGCAACAGGAGCCCGGCGCGGUCCACUGCCGUAAAACCCCCCAACUUUUUAUAGUUGACCUCGAAUCAGGUAGGACUACCCGCUGAACUUAAGCAUAUCAAUAAGCGGAGGAAAAGA